GCCCUCUCAGUGUCACACCUGGAGAGUUUCCAGGACUCUACCAGUCUCGACUAUGGGAGGAAGAGUUGAGCAGAGGUCUGUCCAUUCCAUUCCAUUCCUAGCUUGGCCAGUGGCUAGCAAAUGGAAGGCAAUCUGCUACAAGU